CCCAUUUUUCUUUCCCUAAUUUUGAUCUUUCAUUCGCUAGAUAGCCCUUCCCAAAUCUUUAGAAACCCUACAUUCAUCGUGGGUUCCAAAUACAAGAUUUAUUUGGUGUGUUUCUUCAACACCAAAUCAGAUUUUCUUCUCCAUCUCACUUUCUCUGCCGAUCAUUCUUUGUCACAAACCCUAAAUCUUCAUCAAAUUGGCGCAACCCUAAUCAUCUUCAUCUCCUCCACUGUCCUUGUGUGUUUCACUCAGAUUUCUUCAUCACCAACACGAUUCCGUCUCCAGUGAUGGACUUUUACUCAGAGUUUAUUUACUAUGGCUCGAUCGCUAUGGUUUCCUCCUCGUCAAAUCCUUAAUCAGGUAUGAUUUAUUUCUUCGUACGAUUCUUAUUGUUUAUAAUUUGCUUAAUUCAUUUAUUAUGUUCAUUAUAUAGAUAUCUUGAUAAUUGAUGAGGUUUUGGGGUAUCUUGAUAUGCAUAUAUAUGUAUCUGUAUUAUUUCUUUCAUUCAAGAUAUUUGAUGAAAAAUGCAAUUUUUAUUUGUUUAUUCUGAUGAUAUGAUAAAAAAUUAUAGUGUUUUGAGUAUUAUGACUUUUAGAAUGAGUAAUGACUAUUUUCGUGUGCUUCCAACUUUUUUAUAGCUUUUGUUAAUUUAUGCAUUGAAGUCUUUUCUUUAUCGAAGGUUUGUUUUUUUGGGUAAAGUAUCGAAGGUUUGUUCAUUUCAGCUCCUUUUGACUUCUGUUUCUAUUUGAUCAGAAGUUUGAUAAAUCUAAGAAUCUUUUAUGGGUUAGUUGUAAAGAAGGCUACCCAAACGGCAAACAUGAUGUGAGGUAAUUUCUACAUAUAAAGGUUUGUGAUAUUCUUCAUCAUCCACUUUCAUUUUUACCAAUCCAUUCAAAUAAGUUCAUCUUUCUACAAGAUACUACUAAAACCAGAGUCCUGCUACUAAAGGCUAAGGAGGAGGAAGGGCAGUUUUGGGAACAUGUAUGUUGACAUCGUUAUUUCCGAUGACCAUAGAAUGCGUCUUUUAGGAUUUUUUUUUCUGGUCACUUUCUUGAAUUUGCUGGUCCAUAUCCAACGACCCCUAAACUUAUUCAUUAAUGUCUUGACCGUUUUAGAUCUAUCUCUGAUGGUUAAUAAUUUGAUAUUUCCCGAAUAAAAAGCAUCAACCCUUUUAGUCAUGAACCUUUUAUAAUAUGACAAUGAAUGCAUGACAUUAUAGUCUUUAAGACAAGAGGUGCUUAAUGGUAAAUUAUAUUAUAGUUGAAAAAAGAGGUUUUUUUUAGCCUGUGUUUUUUAUAUAAUAGUGUUUUUACACUUUUAUUAAGUAUAAAUAAUUCAUUUCUUGGCAGGCCGUUCAGCCGGGCAAGUUUGAUUACAGACUUUCAAACAAAUUGGAUACUGAUUUGCAAAAGCUUAGAUGUAGGGUAAACUACCAUGCGUUAAAAUUCACAUACCCUAUAAUUAAAAUGGGUCAAAAGUUGGUCAACUGAAUGAGGAGGAUGGGUAAGCAGCCAAGCACUAUGUUGCUCUACACAUGAGUGUUUAGGCCAAUCCAAUUUGACUUGCUUUGACCUAUGCUAAAAGUUGCAUGCUUUGAUCCAUUAUCCGACCUGACCCAUCCAUUUGCUACACUAUGUGUAAGACCUCGUGAAGAUCAUGGUAAGAGUGAACAACUUUUUAAUUGUUUAUAUCAUUUCACCUGCUUUUAACUGUUUUAAGUUUGAAAAUUAUGGUUAUAAGAUUUUUGUUAACACAUACUUGACUUAUCUUGAGCAGUUGUGACAAAUGUCAUUGACCGGUAACCAGUGAUGAAGCUUGAGAUUUCCGACCGGAGGGGUUGAAAACCUAUAUACCUAAAAAAAGUAUAAACCGGGGGUCGAAAACGUAUAUACCUAAAAACUUCUAUACGAAAACUACAUACCAGACACUCUGAGCGAAAAGUUCGGGGGGUCGGGCGCCCCCCCACCCCCGGCCCCUUCUAUCCUGAGCCCCUGCCGGCAACGGGAAGUCUAUUAGCCUAAGUUCUACCAACUUACCUUGGUUUGAGUGGUCUAUAAAAAUUAGCAAUGUAAAUAUUGGGUGGGAUCUGAUACACUAGAGUAUAGAUACACAUAAUUUUUUUAUUACAUUUAUGCACAGACAUUAUUUAUUUUAGAUUUAUUAUCAUAUUUCAGGUUAUAUGCCAACUCGACUUUGAAUCGGUUCUUAGAAGAUGUAAUAGUGUUGGAAAUGUAGUUUCACCAACA